rnacentral:rRNA from 1 species
UACGUAGGGUGCAAGCGUUGUCCGGAAUUAUUGGGCGUAAAGAGCUCGUAGGCGGUUUGUUGCGUCGGCUGUGAAAUCCCGAGGCUCAACCUCGGGUCUGCAGUCGAUACGAGCAAACUAGAGUGUUGCAGGGGAGACUGGAAUUCCUGGUGUAGCGGUGAAAUGCGUAGAUAUCAAGAGGAACACCUGAGGUGAAGACGGGUUGCUGGGCCGACACUGACGCUGACAGCGCGAAAGCCAGGGGAGCAAACGGG